CGGGAUGAUCAGUCUGAGGUGAAUCUUUGGGGUACCCCGUAAGCUUGCCUUGGAUACGGUCAUUCGUGCGUUCGGAAGAGGGAAGUGGAAUUCCUGGUGUACCGGUGAAACGCGUAGAUAUCAGGAAGAACACCGGUGGCGAAGUCGGCUUCCUGGUCCGAUACUGACGCUGAGGCGCGAAAGCGUGGGGAACGAACAGGAUUAGAUACCCUGGUAGUCCACGCUGUAAACGAUGGGUACUAGGUGUUGGUCCUUUUUAGGAUCAGCGCCGCAGCUAACGCAUUAAGUACCCCGCCUGGGGAAUACGACCGCAAGGUUGAAACUCAAAGGAAUUGACGGGGGCCCGCACAAGCGGUGGAGCAUGUGGUUUAAUUCGAUGCUACGCGAAGAACCUUACCUGGGCUUGAACCGUACUCGAAAACCCCUGAAAAGGGGUCCUCCUUCGGGACGGAUAUAGAGGUGCUGCAUGCCUGUCGUCAGCUCGUGCCGUGAGGUGUUGGGUUAAGUCCCGCAACGAGCGCAACCCUUGCCCUUAGUUGCCAUCAGGUUAUGCUGGGAACUCUAAGGGGACUGCCCCGGAUAACGGGGAGGAAGCUGGGGAUGACGUCAAGUCCUCAUGGCCCUUACGUCCAGGGUUACAUACGUGCUACGAUGGCCGGUACUAUGGGCAGCGAUACCGCAAGGUGGAGCAAAUCCUUAAGACCGGUGUCAGUUCAGAUUGCAGUCUGCAACUCGAUUGCAUGAAGUCGGAACCGCUAGUAAUCACGGAUCAGCAUGCCCCGGUG
rnacentral:rRNA from 1 species